AUUGAACGCUGGCGGCAGGCCUAACACAUGCAAGUCGAACGGUAACAGGAAACAGCUUGCUGUUUCGCUGACGAGUGGCGGACGGGUGAGUAAUGUCUGGGAAACUGCCUGAUGGAGGGGGAUAACUACUGGAAACGGUAGCUAAUACCGCAUAACGUCGCAAGACCAAAGAGGGGGACCUUCGGGCCUCUUGCCAUCGGAUGUGCCCAGGUGGGAUUAGCUAGUAGGUGGGGUAACGGCUCACCUAGGCGACGAUCCCUAGCUGGUCUGAGGGGAUGACCAGCCACACUGGAACUGAGACACGGUCCAGACGCCUACGGGUGGCAGCAGUGGGGAGUAUUGCACAAUGGGCGCAAGCGUGACGCGGCCAUGUCGCGUGUAUGAAGAAGGCCUUCGGGUUGUAAAGUACUUUCAGCGGGAGGAAGGGAGUAAAGUUAAUACCUUUGCUCAUUGACGUUACCCGCAGAAGAAGCACCGGCUAACUCCGUGCCAGCAGCCGCAGUAA
rnacentral:rRNA from 1 species